AGCGAACGCUGGCGGCGUGCCUAACACAUGCAAGUCGAACGCGAAAGGGGGGGCAACCCCCCUAGUAGAGUGGCGCACGGGUGAGUAACGCGUGGGUAAUCUGCCCUCGAAUGGGGAAUAACCUCGCGAAAGCGGGGCUAAUACCGCAUAACAUCUUUCUUUCCUCGGAAGGGAAGAUCAAAGGUGACCUCUGCUUGCAAGUUGCCGUUUGAGGAGGAGCCCGCGUCCCAUUAGCUAGUUGGUAGGGUAACGGCCUACCAAGGCUACGAUGGGUAGCCGGCCUGAGAGGGGGACCGGCCACACUGGAACUGAGACACGGUCCAGACUCCUACGGGAGGCAGCAGUGAGGAAUAUUGCGCAAUGGGCGAAAGCCUGACGCAGCGACGCCGCGUGGAGGAUGAAGGCCUUCGGGUCGUAAACUCCUGUCAUUUGGGAUCAAUCCCGUCAGCAUAACACGUUGACGGUUGAUAGUACCGAAAGAGGAAGGGACGGCUAACUCUGUGCCAGCAGCCGCGGUAAGAC
rnacentral:rRNA from 1 species